rnacentral:rRNA from 1 species
UUAGUGGCAGACGGGUGAGUAACAUGUGGGUAUCUACCCUUUGGCCUGGAAUAACACGAGGAAACUUGUGCUAAUACCGGAUAAGUCUUUACGGAGAAAGCUUUAUGCACCAUUGGAUGAGCCCGCACUUGAUUAGUUUGUUGGUAGGGUAAUGGCCUACCAAGACUAUGAUCAAUAGCUGAUUUGAGAGGAUGAUCAGCCACAUUGGGACUGAGACACGGCCCAAACUCCUACGGGAGGCAGCAGUGGGGAAUCUUGCACAAUGGAGGAAACUCUGAUGCAGCGAUGCCGCGUGAGUGAAGAAGGCCUUUGGGUUGUAAAGCUCUUUCGUCGGGGAAGAAAAUGACUGUACCCGAAUAAGAAGGUCCGGCUAACUUCGUGCCAGCAGCCGCGGUAAUACGAAGGGACCUAGCGUAGUUCGGAAUUACUGGGCUUAAAGAGUUCGUAGGUGGUUGAAAAAGUUGGCGGUGAAAUCCCAGAGCUUAACUCUGGAACUGCCAUCAAAACUUUUCAGCUAGAGUAUGAUAGAGGAAAGCAGAAUUUCUAGUGUAGAGGUGAAAUUCGUAGAUAUUAGAAAGAAUACCAAUUGCGAAGGCAGCUUUCUGGAUCAUUACUGACACUGAGGA